rnacentral:lncRNA from 1 species
AACUCACAACCUGACAUACAUAGAUGAUGUACAAAUAACUAUAUACAAUGAAUUUUUUUAUAAAAUAAUUGGCUUUCUCCUAAAUCGUGAAGUUCAUCAUGCUUCUCCGGAGCCGGUAAGGCUACCGGCUUCGGGGAAGGCUCUAAUUCCUCCUGUCGAAUCUAUUCAUCCCUAUGAUGUAAGUUUUGCUUGGUGAUGCUCUCCUUUCAAGCUUAAAUUGACAUUUCGUUCAUGAUGUUGUGGGUCAUAAUAAUGGAAAUGAAUCCUCUUAUUUCUAUUGUUGUAUUGGAGACUGUUCGUGAGUUUCACUUUGUUGUGCCUCCGCUUUGUUAGUCGUGCACCGGUGAGAUCUCUUAUGCCAUCUAACUAAGAGGACCACUUAUUAUGGGUGGGCUCGUGGUCCAUGGUCACAAGUUUAUGACGAGAGUUGAGCUUUGCGUUCUGCUCACUAAAUUUGUGUCUACUAAAGCAACUUUUUGUCAAACUCAUUUCUCACCUUCUUCAAAUUUAGUGUUUGUUUGUUGCAUUGUUACAUGUUUUGCCGUUUGAGUCAAUGAAUCUCUUUGUUUUAUUGUGCUCAUGGCUCACAUAUCUUCAAGAGGAAGUAGUAAGGCCUCAAAGUGGUGAUGUUGCCCCUCUCGAAAAUCUGGCUUUGAGGACGACUGUGGUUGUGGAAGUUGAGCGCUAUUAAUCCUUUGUGGCUGCGUUAUCCUGUCUAGGGGUUUCAGACCAGUGUUCCAACUCAGACGUGAAGGAAGUCUUUAAGUGGGCUUCUAUGAUUUUUCAGAGGAAUAGUCUUCUGUUUUAGGUGACAUGUUGGAUCAUGUUCUUGCUCACUUUGUUGGUCGUCGACAUUCCAAUUUGUCUUCAGUUUCUCUUUUUAUACUAGUAUUGGCUUGAUCCUUCAUUCAAAUGUGUUUUAAGUUUGUAUCAAUUAUUUAUUUCAUGUUCGUUACCAAGUAAAACGGACGAAUUAUCGUUUGUCUUUUAUUUUCAUAUUUUUACCUUCUUUUAUCAUGUAAUCAAAUCUAGAGGUCUGGG